rnacentral:rRNA from 1 species
UCCUAGUACGAGAGGACCGGAGUGGACGCAUCACUGGUGUUCGGGUUGUCAUGCCAAUGGCACUGCCCGGUAGCUAAAUGCGGAAGAGAUAAGUGCUGAAAGCAUCUAAGCACGAAACUUGCCCCGAGAUGAGUUCUCCCUGAGACUUUAAGUCUCCUGAAGGAACGUUAAAGACGAUGACGUUGAUAGGCCGGGUGUGUAAGCGCAGCGAUGCGUUGAGCUAACCGGUACUAAUGAACCGUGAGGCUUAACCUU